AGCCUGCCCAGUGACUAAGUUAAACGGCCGCGGUACCCUAACCGUGCAAAGGUAGCGCAAUCACUUGUUCUUUAAAUGAGGACUAGUAUGAACGGCAUCACGAGGGUUAUACUGUCUCCCUAUUCCAAUCAGUGAAACUGAUCUUCCCGUGAAGAAGCGGGAAUAAAUAUAUAAGACGAGAAGACCCCAUGGAGCUUUAAACUCAGUACCACCUGCUAUUUUCAAAUCCUUUUAAUCACGCAGACAUGGUAACUAGUUUUCGGUUGGGGUGACCGCGGAGCAAAACAAAACCUCCACAACGAAAGGAACUAACAACCUAAUCCAAGAGCAACAUCUCUAAGAAUUAAAAAAUUAACUUAAUUGAUCCAAUUACUUGAUCAACGAACCAAGUUACCCUGGGGAUAACAGCGCAAUCCAUUUAAAGAGCUCUUAUCGACAAAUGGGUUUACGACCUCGAUGUUGGAUCAGGGUAUCCCAGUGGCGCAGCAGCUACUAAAGGUUCGUUUGUUCAACGAUUAAA
rnacentral:rRNA from 1 species